rnacentral:rRNA from 1 species
UUUGGUCGCCAACGAGUGGCGGACGGGUGAGUAACACGUAGGUAACCUGCCCAGAAGCGGGGGACAACAUUUGGAAACAGAUGCUAAUACCGCAUAACAGCGUUGUUCGCAUGAACAACGCUUAAAAGAUGGCUUCUCGCUAUCACUUCUGGAUGGACCUGCGGUGCAUUAGCUUGUUGGUGGGGUAACGGCCUACCAAGGCGAUGAUGCAUAGCCGAGUUGAGAGACUGAUCGGCCACAAUGGGACUGAGACACGGCCCAUACUCCUACGGGAGGCAGCAGUAGGGAAUCUUCCACAAUGGGCGCAAGCCUGAUGGAGCAACACCGCGUGAGUGAAGAAGGGUUUCGGCUCGUAAAGCUCUGUUGUUAAAGAAGAACACGUAUGAGAGUAACUGUUCAUACGUUGACGGUAUUUAACCAGAAAGUCACGGCUAACUACGUGCCAGCAGCCGCGGUAAUACGUAGGUGGCAAGCGUUAUCCGGAUUUAUUGGGCGUAAAGAGAGUGCAGGCGGUUUUCUAAGUCUGAUGUGAAAGCCUUCGGCUUAACCGGAGAAGUGCAUCGGAAACUGGAUAACUUGAGUGCAGAAGAGGGUAGUGGAACUCCAUGUGUAGCGGUGGAAUGCGUAGAUAUAUGGAAGAACACCAGUGGCGAAGGCGGCUACCUGGUCUGCAACUGACGCUGAGACUCGAAAGCAUGGGUAGCGAACAGGAUUAGAUACCCUGGUAGUCCAUGCCGUAAACGAUGAGUGCUAGGUGUUGGAGGGUUUCCGCCCUUCAGUGCCGGAGCUAACGCAUUAAGCACUCCGCCUGGGGAGUACGACCGCAAGGUUGAAACUCAAAGGAAUUGACGGGGGCCCGCACAAGCGGUGGAGCAUGUGGUUUAAUUCGAAGCUACGCGAAGAACCUUACCAGGUCUUGACAUCUUGCGCCAACCCUAGAGAUAGGGCGUUUCCUUCGGGAACGCAAUGACAGGUGGUGCAUGGUCGUCGUCAGCUCGUGUCGUGAGAUGUUGGGUUAAGUCCCGCAACGAGCGCAACCCUUGUUACUAGUUGCCAGCAUUAAGUUGGGCACUCUAGUGAGACUGCCGGUGACAAACCGGAGGAAGGUGGGGACGACGUCAGAUCAUCAUGCCCCUUAUGACCUGGGCUACACACGUGCUACAAUGGACGGUACAACGAGUCGCGAACUCGCGAGGGCAAGCAAAUCUCUUAAAACCGUUCUCAGUUCGGACUGCAGGCUGCAACUCGCCUGCACGAAGUCGGAAUCGCUAGUAAUCGCGGAUCAGCAUGCCGCGGUGAAUACGUUCCCGGGCCUUGUACACACCGCCCGUCACACCAUGAGAGUUUGUAACACCCAAAGUCGGUGGGGUAACCUUUUAGGAGCCAGCCGC